GUACAUUACUUCCUGUUUUCGUCAAAACAAGGACAGAGAGGGAAGCCAUCAAAGCAGCAAUCUGUUCGCAUCCUUAGCGCCGGAAUGACAAAUCAAUGUCUCUGCAGGUGUACCUAAUGUUGUGGCCCAGCAGUCAUUCACAAAGGGAAAACGGCCCCGCCCCAUCAGCGACCGGGCCUCCCCACCUGAGACAGCUGCAGCUGGACCGUCGAGCAUGGGUUAGGUUGGCACACAUCUGGACGAUUAAAGAGGAAAGCCACUUUCUGAGUUGACUCCCGGGAGAUCCUUUGGCGGGCUGCGGUUAUCACUUUUGGCCCGAGAUCAAGCCCAUGACACACAGAUGAUGCUAAUGGAGGAGCUGGGCAACAUGUUACUGUCAUUCUUCAGGAUCAAAUGCCAUAUUUUAUAUUAUGUGAGCGCCUGAAAUUAAAGCUAAAAGUCCAAACUUCACACAUCUUCACAUUGUUUAUGUCGUUAGUCAUUUGAUUUAUUUGAUAUGAUGUGUUUAUGUCACACAAGUUGCAAUGUUUUUAGGCUUAUUACAAUUAAAUCAACUUGUCUGAAUUAGUUAUCUUCCUUAUCAUGUUGACCUCAAAAGGCGCAGGAUUGCAACAUCAUUUGGAAAUAAAUACUGUAAAGAUGUUUUGCUUUUUAUAUUUACUCAUUUUAUUCAUUUAAAAUUCAUUGCGGAUUCAUUUUAAAAUAAUUGUGGUGGUGUAUAGGGAGAAGGCGGAAUAGGAUUUCAACACAAUUUGGAAAACAAAUGUUUUAUUGAGGUUUUACUCCUUUUAUUUACUUGUUGUAUUCUAUUUAUUUGUUUAAAAUUCAUUGUGGAUUUAUUUUAUUUAUCUAUUAUUUUUUUAAAUAAUUGUUG